rnacentral:lncRNA from 1 species
GCGGGGUUCCGGUGGGCGCGCGUUGAGGCUGCGGUCAUGGAGGGAGCAGGAGCUGGAUCCGGCUUCCGGAAGAAGCAGCAGUCCGCGGCGUGCGGCAGGCCCAGGCAGAAGACGCGCUCCGUGUGGACGUGGACCAGCUGGAGAAGCUCCUGGACUUCUAGGGAUCUCAGCCGUGGCUGAGGCCACCCCCAGAGGAGCCCCUGGUCCACAGAAGCAGGCCUUGUGUUUCCAGCGGCCUCUGAUAAGAGGCAGGGAAGGACCUGAAGGAUUUGGAGUUGAUUCAAACAAGAUCUCUGGGAGUCUCCAGCCUGUGCAGAAGGGGCAGGACUGCAGUGCACUGCGGGCCUUGGAGUGUCCAGUGGGGACACUGGUGUGGGAAGGGGCAGCACCUGGGGAGUCCCUGCCUCUCCUCCCUGGGACAAUAGUGUGCAUGCCACCCGGGGUCCUACAGGCAGGUGCUGGGAAAGGCCUGGCCAGCAGGUAGCCUGUGUGUUUGACAAACAGCAGCUGGCAGCGCUGCCUCCUGCCCACAUUCCUGCCACCCGACAUCAAAGCUGGCGUGUGACCUUUCCAGCCAUGCGAUAUUCCCCUUGGAAGAUGCUUCCCCAGGCUAUAAAUUUGUUCUCACAAAGCAACAUCAAUAAAUCAAAACUGUCUCUCCC